GACGAACGCUGGCGGCGUGCUUAACACAUGCAAGUCGAACGGAAAGGCCCUGCCUUUGUGGGGUGCUCGAGUGGCGAACGGGUGAGUAACACGUGAGUAACCUGCCCUUGACUUUGGGAUAACUUCAGGAAACUGGGGCUAAUACCGGAUAGGAGCUCCUGCUGCAUGGUGGGGGUUGGAAAGUUUCGGCGGUUGGGGAUGGACUCGCGGCUUAUCAGCUUGUUGGUGGGGUAGUGGCUUACCAAGGCUUUGACGGGUAGCCGGCCUGAGAGGGAGACCGGCCACAUUGGGACUGAGAUACGGCCCAGACUCCUACGGGAGGCAGCAGUGGGGAAUAUUGCACAAUGGGCGGAAGCCUGAUGCAGCAACGCCGCGUGCGGGAUGACGGCCUUCGGGUUGUAAACCGCUUUCGCCUGUGACGAAGCGUGAGUGACGGUAAUGGGUAAAGAAGCACCGGCUAACUACGUG
rnacentral:rRNA from 1 species